GGGCACAUGGUCUAGGGGUAUGAUUUUCGCUUCGCAUUAAUUAAUGAGAUUGUGAAAGGUCGUGGGUUCAAUUCCCACUGUGUCCA
rnacentral:tRNA from 1 species